CGAAUGCUGACAUAAGUAACGAUAAAGCGGGUGAAAAGCCCGCUCGCCGGAAGACCAAGGGUUCCUGUCCAACGUUAAUCGGGGCAGGGUGAGUCGACCCCUAAGGCGAGGCCGAAAGGCGUAGUCGAUGGGAAACAGGUUAAUAUUCCUGUACUUGGUGUUACUGCGAAGGGGGGACGGAGAAGGCUAUGUUGGCCGGGCGACGGUUGUCCCGGUUUAAGCGUGUAGGCUGGUUUUCCAGGCAAAUCCGGAAAAUCAAGGCUGAGGCGUGAUGACGAGGCACUACGGUGCUGAAGCAACAAAUGCCCUGCUUCCAGGAAAAGCCUCUAAGCAUCAGGUAACAUCAAAUCGUACCCCAAACCGACACAGGUGGUCAGGUAGAGAAUACCAAGGCGCUUGAGAGAACUCGGGUGAAGGAACUAGGCAAAAUGGUGCCGUAACUUCGGGAGAAGGCACGCUGAUAUGUAGGUGAAGUCCCUCGCGGAUGGAGCUGAAAUCAGUCGAAGAUACCAGCUGGCUGCAACUGUUUAUUAAAAACACAGCACUGUGCAAACACGAAAGUGGACGUAUACGGUGUGACGCCUGCCCGGUGCCGGAAGGUUAAUUGAUGGGGUCAGCGCAAGCGAAGCUCUUGAUCGAAGCCCCGGUAAACGGCGGCCGUAACUAUAACGGUCCUAAGGUAGCGAAAUUCCUUGUCGGGUAAGUUCCGACCUGCACGAAUGGCGUAAUGAUGGCCAGGCUGUCUCCACCCGAGACUCAGUGAAAUUGAACUCGCUGUGAAGAUGCAGUGUACCCGCGGCAAGACGGAAAGACCCCGUGAACCUUUACUAUAGCUUGACACUGAACAUUGAGCCUUGAUGUGUAGGAUAGGUGGGAGGCUUUGAAGUGUGGACGCCAGUCUGCAUGGAGCCGACCUUGAAAUACCACCCUUUAAUGUUUGAUGUUCUAACGUUGACCCGUGAUCCGGGUUGCGGACAGUGUCUGGUGGGUAGUUUGACUGGGGCGGUCUCCUCCUAAAGAGUAACGGAGGAGCACGAAGGUUGGCUAAUCCUGGUCGGACAUCAGGAGGUUAGUGCAAUGGCAUAAGCCAGCUUGACUGCGAGCGUGACGGCGCGAGCAGGUGCGAAAGCAGGUCAUAGUGAUCCGGUGGUUCUGAAUGGAAGGGCCAUCGCUCAACGGAUAAAAGGUACUCCGGGGAUAACAGGCUGAUACCGCCCAAGAGUUCAUAUCGACGGCGGUGUUUGGCACCUCGAUGUCGGCUCAUCACAUCCUGGGGCUGAAGUAGGUCCCAAGGGUAUGGCUGUUCGCCAUUUAAAGUGGUACGCGAGCUGGGUUUAGAACGUCGUGAGACAGUUCGGUCCCUAUCUGCCGUGGGCGCUGGAGAACUGAGGGGGGCUGCUCCUAGUACGAGAGGACCGGAGUGGACGCAU
rnacentral:rRNA from 1 species